GGGGAUAAUACUGGAUAGGCAAUUUUUCCUGCAAUGGUUCUUUGUUUAAAUGUUUUUUCGCCUAAGGAUGGGUCUGCGGCCGAUUAGGUAGUUGGUUAGGUAACGGCUUACCAAGCCAUUGAUCGGUACGGGUUGUGAGAGCAAGAGCCCGGAGAUGGAACCUGAGACAAGGUUCCAGGCCCUACGGGGUGCAGCAGGCGCGAAACCUCCGCAAUGUGAGAAAUCGCGACGGGGGGAUCCCAAGUGCCAUUCUUAACGGGAUGGCUUUUCAUUAGUGUAAAGAGCUUUUGGAAUAAGAGCUGGGCAAGACCGGUGCCAGCCGCCGCGGUAACACCGGCAGCUCUAGUGGUAGCAAUUUUUAUUGGGCCUAAAGCGUCCGUAGCCGGUUUAAUAAGUCUCUGGUGAAAUCCUGCAGCUUAACUGUGGGAAUUGCUGGAGAUACUAUUAGACUUGAGACCGGGAGAGGUUAGAGGUACUCCCAGGGUAGAGGUGAAAUUCUGUAAUCCUGGGAGGACCGCCUGUUGCGAAGGCGUCUAACUGGAACGGUUCUGACGGUGAGGGACGAAAGUUAGGGGCGCGAACCGGAUUAGAUACCCGGGUAGUCCUAACUGUAAACGAUGCGGACUUGGUGUUGGGGUGGCUUUGAGCUGUCCCAGUGCCGAAGGGAAGCUGUUAAGUCCGCCGCCUGGGAAGUACGGU
rnacentral:rRNA from 1 species